rnacentral:lncRNA from 1 species
CCGUGACACAAGCCGAUUCUGCUGCACGUGCAUUUCGAGGAUAAGGAUUCGCAAUCCCGGCGGGCUCCCGGCACACAGCUCGCAUCUGCAGCCCCUAGACGUUCUCGCCCCUGAACACUAGAUGUGAACUAAGCAACAACAGCCCAGCGACUUGAAGGAGGAAGAACAGAAUCUGGAUUAUUGCCGACGCCGCCUCCUCUGUGCAGGGAGAACAUUCACGCCCCCUUCUGAGAUUCCCCAAACUAACAGCUAACGUAGAUCGCUGGCUCACCCCGUCUCUGAGCUGGGCUCUCGGCACGAAGGCGGCUGAUGUCAUGUCACCGCCACCCUGCGUGAAGGCACCUUUGUGACCCCACUCCAGAGACGAGGAACCGGAAGCCCAAGCGGCCAGCCUCAGACCACAGGCCGAAGCCCAAAGCGCCAGGAUCUGCAGCCCAGGCAGCCUGGCCCCGGAGGCUGCCCCUCAACCGCCCCGCAGAGCCGCCUCCCAAGUGGCAAUGGAGGAAAUAAACACAGCUGCCCGGCCGCCAGGGGUCGGCCUGGAGGAGACCAUGUGCCCCCACCCCACCCCCGUCC